GUAGGGAAUAUUGGACAAUGGGCGCAAGCCUGAUCCAGCCAUCCCGCGUGAAGGAUUAAGGCCCUAUGGGUUGUAAACUUCUUUUCUCUGGGAAUAAAAAGCGGGAUUUAUCCUGCCUUGAAGGUAUCAGAGGAAUAAGCACCGGCUAACUCCGUGCCAGCAGCCGCGGUAAUACGGAGGGUGCAAGCGUUAUCCGGAUUCACUGGGUUUAAAGGGAGCGUAGGUGGCUUUGUAAGUCAGUGGUGAAAUGUCGCAGCUUAACUGCGAAACUGCCAUUGAUACUGCUUAGCUUGAAUCACGUCGAGGUGGAUGGAAUAUUACAUGUAGCGGUGAAAUGCUUAGAUAUGUAAUAGAACACCGAUUGCGAAGGCAGUUCACUAGGCGUGUAUUGACACUGAGGCUCGAAAGCGUGGGGAUCAAACAGGAUUAGAUACCCCGGUAGUCC
rnacentral:rRNA from 1 species